rnacentral:rRNA from 1 species
GACGAACGCUGGCGGCGUGCCUAACACAUGCAAGUCGAACGGAGAUGUAAUUUCGGUUAUAUCUUAGUGGCGAACGGGUGAGUAACGCGUGAGCAACCUGACUCUUAGAGGGGGAUAACACCCGGAAACGAGUGCUAAUACCGCAUAAGACCACGACAUGGCAUCAUGACGAGGUCAAAAGGAGCAAUCCGCUGAGAGAGGGGCUCGCGUCCCCAUUAGAUAGAUGGCGGGGUAACGGCCCACCAUGUCAACGAUGGGUAGCCGAGCUGAGAGGCGUGAUCGGCCACACUGGAACUGAGACACGGUCCAGACUCCUAC